UANCNAAAACNNGGCNUUUUNANAANAAUUUAAGGUCUGACCUGCCCAUUGAGAAAUUUAAAGGCCGCGGUAAAUUGACCGUGCUAAGGUAGCAUAAUCAUUAGUUUUUUAAUUGGAAGCUGGAAUGAAUGGUUGGAUGANAAAAUAACUGUCUCUAUUUAAUUUAAAGUGAAUUUUAUUUUUAAGUAAAAAAGCUUAAAUUAGUUUAAAAGACGAGAAGACCCUAUAGAGUUUUAUAAAUUUUAAGUUUUAAUUUUUUAGGAUUAUUAUUUUGUAAUUUAAAUUUUAUUUGAUUGGGGCGAUUGAAAAAUUUAAUUAACUUUUUUUAUAAAUUUUACAUUAAUUGAUGAAAAAUUGAUCCAUAGAUAAUGAUUAAAAGAUUAAAUUACCUUAGGGAUAACAGCGUAAUUUUUUUUUGAGAGUUCUAAUCGAAAAAAAAGUUUGCGACCUCGAUGUUGGAUUAAAAUUAAUUUUUGGUGUAGCAGCUAAAAAUUUUA
rnacentral:rRNA from 1 species